UGAUAAUCAUGAUGUAAUUGUUAAUUUUU
rnacentral:piRNA from 1 species